rnacentral:rRNA from 1 species
GGUUUCCUACGGGACGCAGCAGUGGGGGAUAUUGCACAAUGGGGGGAACCCUGAUGCAGCGACGCCGCGUGGGUGAAGAAGCGCCUCGGCGCGUAAAGCCCUGUCAGCAGGGAAGAAAAUGACGGUACCUGAAGAAGAAGCACCGGCUAACUCCGUGCCAGCAGCCGCGGUAAUACGGAGGGUGCAAGCGUUACUCGGAAUCACUGGGCGUAAAGAGUGCGUAGGCGGGGUAAUAAGUCAGAUGUGAAAUCCUAUGGCUUAACCAUAGAACUGCAUUUGAAACUGUUAUUCUAGAGUAUGGGAGG